rnacentral:rRNA from 1 species
ACUAAACAGCUAGCUCAACCCACCAAAACACAAAACUACCAUAUAAAUAAUUUUACAAAAACUCAAGAGGAAGAACUAAACCAUUCGACCACCCCAGUACGGGCGACAGAAAAGGAAAAAAUGAAGCUAUAGACAAAGUACCGCAAGGGAAAGCUGAAAGAGGAAUGAAAUAACGCACUUAAGUAAAUAAAAGCAGAGAACUCACCUCGUACCUUUUGCAUCAUGAUCUAGCCAGUAAGCUCAAGCAGAGAGACCUCUAGUUUGUCCCCCCGAAACCAGACGAGCUACUCCGGGACAGCCUAUUUUAGGGCCAACCCGUCUCUGUGGCAAAAGAGUGGGAAGAUCCCCGAGUAGAGGUGAAAGACCUACCGAGUCCGGUUAUAGCUGGUUGCCCAGGAAAUGAAUAGAAGUUCAGCCCCGUUAAGCCUCCCACCACUACAGUUUUACUAAGACUAGGCCCGAGAGACAAUGACAGGAGUUAGUCAAGAGAGGUACAGCUCUCUUAACAAAGGACACAACCUUAAAAGGAGGCUAAGGGAUAAACUCUUUAAGGACACAGGUUUCAGUGGGCCUAAAAGCAGCCAUCUGAACAGAAAGCGUUAAAGCUCAAACCAUCAAAAUCCUAUUAUUUUAUUAACACAACCCAAUGCCCCUAAGAAUACUGGGCCGCUUUAUGCCCUCAUAAAAAAGACCAUGCUAGAACGAGUAAUAAGAAGAAUGAACUUCUCCCCGCACAAGUGUAAGUCGGAUCGGACAAGCCACCGACAAUUAACGAAUCCAACAAUAGAGGAACCUGCACUACUGCCAAACCUGGCCAAGAAAAACAUGCAUUGCAAGAAAUCGUUAACCCCACACAGGAGUGCAAGCCCAGGGAAAGACUUAAAGGAAAAAAAGGAACUCGGCAAACCCAAACCUCGCCUGUUUACCAAAAACAUCGCCUUCUGACAUUAAACACAUAGAAGGUCCCGCCUGCCCUGUGACUUAUAGUUUAACGGCCGCGGUAUUUUAACCGUGCAAAGGUAGCGCAAUCAAUUGUCUUUUAAAUGGAGACCUGUAUGAAUGGCACCACGAGGGUUUAACUGUCUCUUUAUCCUGGUCAAUGAAACUGAUCUGCCCGUGCAGAAGCGGGCAUACACCCAUAAGACGAGAAGACCCUAUGGAGCUUUAGACGCUAACUAACCAUGAAGAGCGACCCGACCAAAGAGUUCACCAAAUAACAUGGUUUUAGCCCAAACGUCUUCGGUUGGGGCGACCACGGGAGAAAGCAAAGCUCCCGAGCGGAUAGGGGAAACCCCUAGAACCCAGAGCCACAGCUCUAAGUCACAGAAAAUUUGACCGACAAUGAUCCGGCUUAACUGCCGAUCAACGAACCAAGUUACCCUAGGGAUAACAGCGCAAUCCCCUCCCAGAGUCCAUAUCGACGAGGGGGUUUACGACCUCGAUGUUGGAUCAGGACAUCCUGAUGGUGCAGCCGCUAUCAAGGGUUCGUUUGUUCAACGAUUAAAGUCCUACGUGAUCUGAGUUCAGACCGGAGUAAUCCAGGUCAGUUUCUAUCUAUGAUGCCACCCUUCCUAGUACGAAAGGACCGGAGUGAUGGGGCCAAUGCUCCCAGUAUGCCUCCCCUCAACCUGAUGAAAAUAGCUAAAACAGGUAAAGGGGGGCCACCCCCGGCCCCAGAGAAGGGCGC